GUAUCUGGACGGGAAGCCGCGGUAUUUGCUUGCAAAUGCCGAGGAACUUCCGGACUCUAAGGGCAGGGCGCCGCGCGCAAGCGCGGGAGGGCGGGGCCAGAUACCCCGUUCGACGGAAAGUGCAACAGAAAAUAUACCGCCUCUUUGGCGCAAGCCUUAUAGGUAAGGGUGAAAUGGCGCGGUAAGAGCGCGCCGCGCAAACGGCGACGUUUGCGGCAUGGUAAACCCCGUCUUGAGCAAGGCCAAACCUCCGAGUAUUGCCCGUACGUUAUAAGGAAAGUGGGCCGCAUAGAUAAAUGGCUUCCGCGCCGGCGAAACCGGCGCACAGAAUCCGGGGUAUAGUCCAGAUAAAUAA
rnacentral:RNase_P_RNA from 1 species